CAUGCUCAGGAUGAACGCUAGCGGCAGGCCUAAUACAUGCAAGUCGAACGGGAUUCUUUCCUUCGGGAGAGAUGAGAGUGGCGCACGGGUGCGUAACGCGUAUGCAACCUACCUUUUACUGGGGGAUAGCCCGGGGAAACCCGGAUUAAUACCCCAUGGCAUCAAAACUUCGCAUGGAGAAUUGAUUAAAGAUUUAUCGGUAAAAGAUGGGCAUGCGUAGGAUUAGCUAGUUGGUGGUGUAACGGACCACCAAGGCUGCGAUCCUUAGGGGUUCUGAGAGGAAGGUCCCCCACACUGGCACUGAGAUACGGGCCAGACUCCUACGGGAGGCAGCAGUAGGGAAUAUUGGGCAAUGGGCGAGAGCCUGACCCAGCCAUGCCGCGUGCAGGAAGACGGCGUUCUGCGUUGUAAACUGCUUUUAUAAGGGAAGAAACCCCUCUACGUGUAGAGGGCUGACGG
rnacentral:rRNA from 1 species